rnacentral:rRNA from 1 species
AGCUUGCUAUUUUUAUGAAGAGCGGCGAACGGGUGAGUAACGCGUGGGAAAUCUGCCGAGUAGCGGGGGACAACGUUUGGAAACGAACGCUAAUACCGCAUAACAAUGAGAAUCGCAUGAUUCUUAUUUAAAAGAAGCAAUUGCUUCACUACUUGAUGAUCCCGCGUUGUAUUAGCUAGUUGGUAGUGUAAAGGACUACCAAGGCGAUGAUACAUAGCCGACCUGAGAGGGUGAUCGGCCACACUGGGACUGAGACACGGCCCAGACUCCUACGGGAGGCAGCAGUAGGGAAUCUUCGGCAAUGGGGGCAACCCUGACCGAGCAACGCCGCGUGAGUGAAGAAGGUUUUCGGAUCGUAAAACUCUGUUGUUAGAGAAGAACGUUAAGUAGAGUGGAAAAUUACUUAAGUGACGGUAUCUAACCAGAAAGGGACGGCUAACUACGUGCCAGCAGCCGCGGUAAUACGUAGGUCCCAAGCGUUGUCCGGAUUUAUUGGGCGUAAAGCGAGCGCAGGUGGUUUCUUAAGUCUGAUGUAAAAGGCAGUGGCUCAACCAUUGUGUGCAUUGGAAACUGGGAGACUUGAGUGCAGGAGAGGAGAGUGGAAUUCCAUGUGUAGC